rnacentral:rRNA from 1 species
AUUGAACGCUGGCGGCAUGCCUUACACAUGCAAGUCGAACGGUAACGGGCCUUCGGGUGCCGACGAGUGGCGAACGGGGGAGUAAUACAUCGGAACGUGCCCGACCGUGGGGGGUAACGAGGCGAAAGCUUUGCUAAUACCGCAUACGAUCUACGGAUGAAAGCAGGGGACCGCAAGGCCUUGCGCGGACGGAGCGGCCGAUGGCAGAUUAGGGAGUUGGUGGGAUAAAAGCGUACCAAGCCGACGAUCUGUAGCUGGUCUGAGAGGAUGAUCAGCCACACUGGGACUGAGACACGGCCCAGACUCCUACGGGAGGCAGCAGUGGGGAAUUUUGGACAAUGGGCGCAAGCCUGAUCCAGCCAUGCCGCGUGCAGGAUGAAGGCCUUCGGGUUGUAAACUGCUUUUGUACGGAACGAAAAGCCUUCUUUUAAUACAGGAGGGUCAUGACGGUACCGUAAGAAUAGGCACCGGCUAACUACGUG